UACGUAGGGUGCGAGCGUUAAUCGGAAUUACUGGGCGUAAAGCGUGCGCAGGCGGUUGGUUAAGUCUGAUGUGAAAGCCCCGGGCUCAACCUGGGAAUGGCAUUGGAAACUGGCUAGCUGGAGUGUGGCAGAGGGGGGUGGAAUUCCGCGUGUAGCAGUGAAAUGCGUAGAGAUGCGGAGGAACACCGAUGGCGAAGGCAGCCCCCUGGGUCGACACUGACGCUCAGGCACGAAAGCGUGGGGAGCAAACAGG
rnacentral:rRNA from 1 species